rnacentral:rRNA from 1 species
GAUGAACGCUGGCGGCGUGCUUAACACAUGCAAGUCGAACGGGAAACCUUUUAUUGAAGCUUCGGCAGAUUUAGAUUGUUUCUAGUGGCGGACGGGUGAGUAACGCGUGGGUAACCUGCCUUAUACAGGGGGAUAACAGUCAGAAAUGACUGCUAAUACCGCAUAAGCGCACAGAGCUGCAUGGCUCAGUGUGAAAAACUCCGGUGGUAUAAGAUGGACCCGCGUUGGAUUAGCUAGUUGGUGAGGUAACGGCCCACCAAGGCGACGAUCCAUAGCCGGCCUGAGAGGGUGAACGGCCACAUUGGGACUGAGACACGGCCCAGACUCCUACGGGAGGCAGCAGUGGGGAAUAUUGCACAAUGGGGGAAAUCCUGAUGCAGCGAUGCCGCGUGAAGGAAGAAGUAUCUCGGUAUGUAAACUUCUAUCAGCAGGGAAGAAAAUGACG